rnacentral:rRNA from 1 species
UACGAAGGGGGCUAGCGUUGCUCGGAAUCACUGGGCGUAAAGGACGCGUAGGCGGAUCUUUAAGUCAGGGGUGAAAGCCUGAGGCUCAACCUCAGAACUGCCCUUGAUACUGGGAGUCUUGAGUAUGGUAGAGGUUGGUGGAACAGCAAGUGUAGAGGUGAAAUUCGUAGAUAUUUGCUAGAACACCAGUGGCGAAGGCGGCCAACUGGACCAUAACUGACGCUGAGGUGCGAAAGCGUGGGGAGCAAACAGG